UUUUACGGAGAGUUUGAUCCUGGCUCAGGACGAACGCUGGCGGCGUGCUUAACACAUGCAAGUCGAGCG
rnacentral:rRNA from 1 species